UACAGGGGGUGCGAGCGUUGUUCGGAAUUACUGGGCGUAAAGGGCGCGUAGGCGGUUUAGCAAGUCAGAUGUGAAAGCCCGGGGCUUAACUCCGGAAUUGCAUUUGAAACUGCUAGGCUAGAGUGCAGUAGAGGAUGGCGGAAUACCUAGUGGAGAGGUGAAAUUCGUAGAUAUUAGGUGGAACACCGGUGGCGAAGGCGGCCAUCUGGGCUGUAACUGACGCUGAGGCGCGAGAGCGUGGGGAGCAAACAGG
rnacentral:rRNA from 1 species